rnacentral:lncRNA from 1 species
AUCCAAAAAUAAAUAAAUAAAUAAAUAAUAAAAGAAUUUAUAUCAUUGAACGCCAUAUAUAUAUAAUAUACUAUCAUCUCAACAUGUAGUGAAUAUAGAAAAUUUUAAUGAGAUCACUUUACAUUCUUUAUUUUCAUACUGAGUUUGAAACCUGGUAUGGGUUUUACUUCUGAGGCACAUGUCAGUUCAGACCAGCUACAUUCAAUUGCUCAACAGAUGCGUGUGUCAAGUGGCCAUCAUAUUGGACAAAACAGAACUGGAUGACCUGAACAUUCCUUCUCAUUCAGAUGACUUCUGAUCUCAUGAUAAUGCCUCUGUAUUUACCUGACACCAGACUGUCCAUCACUAGGCUGUUCCUACCUGCUCACCAGGAGGUGCAACACCACAUUCUGCCCAGCCAAGCUCUCCAGACAGUGCUUCAUCACCCAGGGGUGACCCCAAUAUUCUCUGGAUAUGAUGUUUGCAAAGCUUGGACUUCCAAACCACACAGGGUCUUGCUCCAGUGUCCAUCUCAGCCCAAAGUAUGAAAACUUUGGUUUCAAAGUCUGGGCUUCCUCACUGCCCAACUCAAAACUUCUCUUCUGAGGCAACCCCUAGACUUGCAAACCAGAGCAGACACUGAAGAACAGGAGUUAGAAGCCCGCAUACGUGGCAGUCUUUUUCUCGGGCAAUUCUGUGGGCAUUUGCUUCAUGCCCAGCAUGAGGCCAGCACUGUGCCAAACUUGGGGACACCAAAAAAAGCAAGAUGAUAGUCAUGUCUUCCCUUUAGACCCUAACCCUGACAUGCACGUAGUAAACAAUGGAAGGAUGACCUGCAACAAUACACAUUAAAGUGUUAAACUGGAUCCUGCACCAUCAGAAGCCAUAUUAGUCAGGGUCUCAGCAGGAAACAGAUGGCACAUUCAAGCUGGGUAAUUGAGGAGAGUUUAAUGACAGUACUGUUUUAAAAUACAUGGGAAGGGUUUGGAGAAAGUCACAAGAGAUAACAUGCACCACUACCCUAGGCCUGAAGAGGCUGGGAAAAGAGACAUUGAGAAGGCAAAGAGGACAUCUGCAUGGGGAAGUCCACUUAGCAAGAGCUGUAGCAACCGGAAGAAACCCCACAGGGAAUGUGUUCUCCCAGCUCAAUCUCCUGUCCCCUCAGAUCUUCUUUUGCUUCAUCCCAUUGGCUAAACCCAACCUAAAGCAAAGUGAAGGGAGCAAAGGUAGGUCAGCCUCCCAGCACAGAACAGGGAAGGCCAGAGGUGGAGACACCAAGAGAAGACAUCCAGCCCAGGGACCAGGAUGUGAGCAUCACAGGUGGUAAGUGCAGGGAGAUCAGGGUAGAUGUGGGGCUGGGGGCAGGUUCUAGUGGAGGCAGGACUAGACCUGAGUCCUGGCAGAUGAGUAGGCUUUCAGAAAAUAAGGAAGGAGAACCCUUCAGCUUGGACAGCAGGGUCAAGGGAAGAAGGCCUGAACAAACUCAAACAGGUGCAUGUGAGUUGGCCCUCAGGGAUGGAGUGGACAUGAUAAACCUCUGCUGGGACCUAAAGUCCUUCCCUUACCAGCUCCAAGAUCACAAAAUCCAAGCCUUCCUUCCUGGGACAGUGGACUUGAAUGUGGCCCCCUAAAAGAGGGCAACGUCUUCAUGGAGAAUGGAUAAGAGUUGAUGCUUGAUACUUUUAUAGUGAGGCCUGAGAGAUGGCAAAGCAAAAGAUGGGUUUCAUGGUCUAGUACCGAAGGGUAUGGUUACAGGCUCUAGAUAUAACCCAAGAGAAUAAAGGUCCAAUAAGCAUCAGAGUCAUAACUAGAACAGUCUCAAAUAUGCAUAUGGCAUCUUACAUGAGGUCUUCAUGUUUGAUUAUCUUAGUGAUAAAAAGGAUCAGAAGGAAGUUGGGGAGAGAGGUAAUGAGCACAAUGAGUACCAAAUACGUGCCAGAGAUUGUAUAUAGCAUCAUACACUGUGUGUGUCCACAAUCCCAUUCUCCCCUUUAUACAGAGAAGGACAGUAAGGACCAAAGGAAUUGAAUGAUUUGUCCAAGGUUGGAGAGCCAUAAAAUGGAAUGGGACUGGGUCCCAAUCUCUGAUUCUAUAUCUCUGUGUACUUUUCCCACUCAUAAAAUAGUGUGAGGACAAUGCAAGCCAGCAUUAAAUGAGACCCUGGACCCUCAUUGCUUUACAAGAGUUCAGAGCACUGGGUGAUUAAGGCACCAUUAUUACAGGGAUCAGGACAGAAUCUGGGCUGUAGACAAUCAGUACCGGAGCUCAGAGAAUGGUGGUAGCCUGAAAGAGCAGAUGAGAGGAUGCACAGGGCAGAUGCAGGACUUGAGCUGAGAUCGCUGCCCACCCAAGUCAGGUUUCCAUGGAGACCAAACUCCCUUUUCUGGGAGCUGUGAUCCACUCUCUUCCACAGGCCACAACCGAGAGCCCAUUGCUGCCCAGCCUGAGGCUCACAAUCCAAAUUUCUGUCCUAUGCAGUCCGACAGUUCAAAAAUGAAAUUUCAAGUGUACAGGGAGGUAUAUUGGGCUUAAAUUUAGAGUCUGUGUGUCUGAUCAGCCAACAGAAUGAAAUAAAGCGUAAGCUCUGGGUUACUACCCCAGCCAUUGAGUAUGGAGAGGGGCAGGGACAUACAUGUUCUACCAAAAUUCAAAUAUAAUGUUUGUUAGGAUAGCCUUUCUGGUCCGUAACAUCUUUGGUUGGAAAAUGCAGUCAUCAUUUCUUAUGUGGGCUGUGUCUGUAAGAGAAAAGCACCAGAUGGGAAUGGGUCAGCCAGUGUUCCUGAUGAAUUCAUGACUGAAUUAGCAAAUAUGGUUUGUUGGAGCCAAUGUGAUUUGGUAUUUAAAUGGGGUUGGGAGUCAGUGAUGGCAACAAGAGAAAAGAGAAUAAAUGGAUCAAAGGACAGCCUCUACAAGGCACGAAGGAAGAGCAGGAAAGUUGCAGCAUUUGAUGGGCUGGAAAAGCCACUGUCCAAGUCUCUGAUCACACCCUGUGCACAUUAGAAUCCCUGGGGUAUUCUGAAUUGGUCCAAUGUCUGGACCCCACCCAUGGAGAUUCCAAUUUAGUGGUCUGAGAUGGAGCUAGAAAAGAAUAGGAUUUUUCCCCUUUUUUAAAUUGAAGCAUAGUUGAUGCACAAUAGUAUACAAGUUAAGGAUAUGCAACAUAGUGGUUGACAAUUUUUAAAUGUUAUACUCCACUUAUAGUCAGUAUAAAAUAUUGUCUCUAUUCCCUGUGCUUAUUUUAUACCUAAGAGAUUGCACCUCUUAAUCCCCUACCUCUAUCGUGUCUCUUUCCCCUUCACUCUCACUGGUGACCACUAUCUCUGUGAUUCUCUUUCUUUUUUAUUAUAUUCACUAGUUAGUAUUUUUUAGAUUUCACAUGUAAGUGAUAUCAUACAGUGUUUGUCUUUCUCUGUCUAACUUUUAUUUCAUUUAUCACAAAACCCUCCAAGUCCAUCCAUGUUAUUGCAAAUGGCAAAUGUUCAUUUCUUUUUAUGGCCGAGUAGUACUCCAUUAGAUAGAUAGAUAGAUAGAUAGAUAGAUAGAUAGAUAGAUAGAUAGAUAGAUAGAUGAUAGAUAGAUAUGGAGAUAUACACCAUAUCUUCUUUAUCCAGUCAUCUGUUGAUGGACACUUAGGUUGCUUCUAUAUCUUGGCAAUUGUAAAUCAUGCUGCUGAGAACAUUAGGUGCAUGUAUCUUUUCAAACUAGUGGUUUUGGUUUUUUGGAUAUAUUCCCAGGAAUGGAACUGCUGGGUCAUAUCAUAGUUCUAUUUUUAGUUUUUCAAGAAACCUCUAUACUAUUUUCCACAGUGACUGCCCCAAUUUAUAUUCCCACCAACAGUAUACAAGUCCCCCCGCCCCAUCCUCACCAACAUUUGCUCUUUGUGUUCUUUUUGACGGUGACCAUUCUGACAGGUGUGAGGUGAUAUCUCAUGUGGUUUUGAUUUGCAUGUCCCUGAUGAUUGGUGAUGUUGAUCUUCUCAUGUGCCUGGAAAUUAAUACUUUUUAAGAACACAAGUGCUGCCAGAAUUGGAAAAUACUGCUGUACAUCCAAUUCCACCCUUUCUGAAGCCCUGCCUCCUUCUUCCUCCUUCUCCCCAGUUUCUGUGGCCACCCAUCAGCAGGAGGCAGCAUGUGAUAAAGCAGCCCCAGAAUUGCUGCUCUUUGAGUGGCAGGGUGACCAGCAGGCCCAGCUGUAAGCCGGGAGGUCCAGCAUCCUAGGAAAGCCCUCAAUGCCAGCAGAUUCGGAGGUCAGUCAUCCUUCUUCCAAGUUACCAGCUCACCUGGCCCUGACAUCUUUCUACUCACCCCUCUGGAGCAGAGAACUACUUCCUCCUUGAUCUUUCCUGCUCAUCCAAAGCCCCACACACAGUCAUGAGGACCCUGGGGCCCACCAGUCCCCAUUUGGCCUCCAGUUCUGGCCCUGCACCCUGGAAAAUGCCCAGCCCUCCUCCUGCCUCAGCCCAGGGUGCCCCACACAUUUGAGAAGGGACUGGGGUAUGUUGACGCCAUCCGGGUGGCGGCCCCCAGGUUGAUUUGCCCCAUAUCUGAAAUUGCACCACGGGUGCUAAUGUGUUCCUUCCUGUGGUCCUGGGGCUCUAAAUCCAGGAGCCAUUUCCUAAGCAAUGUUCAUAUUUAUUUGUGAAAUUAUAUGGACUUUUAUAGCACACUUACAAAGAUGAAUAAAUCCCUGUUUGCACAGCCCAAUUUGUUGUUCUAACCUGACACUUCCGUGUCAUAAUCACCUUUCUUUCAGCUGGUUAUGGCCAAGGCUGUUAGGGAUUUAUUAGACGUGUUUUAUAAUGUGCUUUACAAGAUAUUUGUGGAGGCUGUGGCUCUGUUUAUGGGAGAGAGGGGGAGGGAUGGAGGGAAGGGGGCAGAGAGAGAGAAGAGCAUGUAACUUGGUGCAUCUGAGAUGAGUUUAGUGGGAACUUUCCUGCCGCCCCCACUCCCAGCCCCCACCCCUGCUCACCCACAACUUGGAAAACUUUGAUCUCCUACUUCUGCAAUAUUAUUGAUCUUUAGAGAUGGUGGAGGGUAGAAAGAAGACACAAACAUCAAGGAGAUUUUAAGAUAAGACUGGAGAUGAUGGGAUCUCCUUUAUACUGCUGAAAUAUCAGCAAGCUUUGCUAGAAGUGACCUCUCCACUCUCCAGUUCUCUCUUCCAAACAAGGGAAAGAAGAUGAAAGCAGGUGGGAGGCCACCUUGGCCAGAGUCUUCUAAGCCCUUUCUGAGGGCUGGAAAUAGCUUCCCUGGUGAACUGUUCAUCCUUUCCUAGGGAGGCUUAUGUUGAAGAUGGCCAGGGAAACUCAAUUGGUGAGUCCCAGAUCAACUCGAUAAAUUACUUACUGAGAGUCUUGAACGGUGGUACUAAGAUAGGUAGGUCAUGGUUGGCAGCUUCAGGGAGUUUGCCAUUGAGCUAGAAAAGGGUGUUUGCAAGCCACAGACAGCUCCACAUGCUGGUGCUGUCAUGGAGAUAUUUGCAGAAAGCUCCGGGAGAAAAGGAAGGAACAACAGUUUUAUGGGUCAAGGGGAAUCAUAAGUUUUUCAUGCACCCUUGAGGUAGGCCUUCAAGAAAAAUAAAGCAUCCUAAGGAGGCUUUCCAUCAGAGACUGCCAUGUGCAGAUGGCAGUACAAAGGCUUGGAGGCCAUCCCUCAUUCCGUCCUCACUGUUGAGCACUGCCAGGUACCAGGGACUUACUUGGAGACUAGAAGAUCAUAGCAAGCAAGACAGGUAAGUGUUAAAGUCCAAGGGUAUUUCCCUGGGACCUAUUAUCACCCAGGCAAAGACCCAAGAAGACAUAGUGAGUCCAAAGCUCUGUCUAAGGAGCAAGAAUGGGCUGUGCAGAGGCUCAAAACAAGACUGAAAAGGUGGCCAGAAGCCAGCUGACCAUGAUAGAGUGUGUACUUUAUUCCAAGUGAAAAAAGACAUAUCUCAUUUUGCAUUUAUUUGAAGACCCUUGGCCCAGUGCCAGUGAGCACCCUCAGCACCCAGGCCUUUGUUUCUAAUACAACUCUCCAGUCAAAGGGCUCCAGGGCACCUGGAGGAAUGGCAGAUCCUCAGGCAGGGUCAGGGGACAUACCAGAUGAGCCCACAGCAACUUGUUGAGACAAGAAGUAAAAGCGUGCUCAAGGAGUUCCCAUCAUGGCUCAGCAGUAAUAACCCCAACUAGUAUCCAUGAGGAUACAGGUUCAAUCCCUGGCCUUGAUCAUUGGGUUAAGGAUCCUGCAUUGCCGUGAGCUGUGGUGUAAGUAACAGAUGUGGCUUGGAUUCCACGUUGCUGUGGCUCUGGUGUAGACUGCAGCAAUAGCUCUGAUUCGACCCCUAGCCUGGGAACCUCCAUAUGCU